UGUUAAAUCACACACAAACAAACACACACCCUGUAUCUCCAGGUGCAUGAGGGCUCUAAGGCGGUGCUGGCUGACCUGAGGUCAGGUGAUGUGAUUGUGGAGGUGAACGGAGAACUCACUGCCACCAUGCUGAACGUGGAGGCUCAGGGAAAGAUCCGGAACGCCAUGACUAACCUCAAACUGCUGAUAGACAGGCCAUCCAAUUCAAAGCAGACCUGCCCAGGAAGUCACGAUAAGCCAGAGUAUCUGCUCUGCCAGGAUCUUGGGGCUCAGUCUCAUGAUACAGGAGGCCAAAGGAAACCACCACGUCCUCACACAGCCCAACCAAUGAGAA